GACGAACGCUGGCGGCGUGCUUAACACAUGCAAGUCGAACGAUGAAGAAAAGAAUUGAAGCUUCGGCAGAAAUUCAUUUCGGAUUAGUGGCAGACGGGUGAGUAACGCGUGAGCAACCUACCUCUUACAAAGGGAUAGCCUCGGGAAACCGGGAUUAAUACCAUAUAACAUUGCGACGAAGCAUUUCGAUGCAAUCAAAGCUACGGCGGUAAGAGAUGGGCUCGCGUCCCAUUAACCAGAUGGUGAGGUAACGGCUCACCAUAGUAACGAUGGGUAACCGGGCUGGGAGGGUGAACGGUCACACUGGAACUGAGACACGGUCCAGAAUCCUACGGAAGGGAGCAGAGGGGAAUAUUGCACAAUGGAGGGAACUCUGAUGCAGCGACGCCGCGGGAGUGAUGAAGGAAUUCGUUUCGUAAAACUCUGUUCUAUGGGAAGAAAAGGACGGUACCAUAGGAGAAAGCUCCGGCUAAAUACGUG
rnacentral:rRNA from 1 species